rnacentral:rRNA from 1 species
AUACGGAGGGGGUUAGCGUUGUUCGGAAUUACUGGGCGUAAAGCGCGCGUAGGCGGAUUAGUAAGUUAGAGGUGAAAUCCCAGGGCUCAACCCUGGAACUGCCUUUAAUACUGCUAGUCUUGAGUUCGAGAGAGGUGAGUGGAAUUCCGAGUGUAGAGGUGAAAUUCGUAGAUAUUCGGAGGAACACCAGUGGCGAAGGCGGCUCACUGGCUCGAUACUGACGCUGAGGUGCGAAAGCGUGGGGAGCAAACAGGAUUAGAAACCCCAGUAGUCC